GACGAACGCUGGCGGCGUGCUUAACACAUGCAAGUCGAACGAAGAGCGACGGAAGCUUGCUUCUAUCAAUCUUAGUGGCGAACGGGUGAGUAACGCGUAAUCAACCUGCCCUUCAGAGGGGGACAACAGUUGGAAACGACUGCUAAUACCGCAUACGAUCUAACCUCGGCAUCGAGGAUAGAUGAAAGGUGGCCUCUACAUGUAAGCUAUCACUGAAGGAGGGGAUUGCGUCUGAUUAGCUAGUUGGGGGAGUAACGGCCCAACAAGGCGAGGUUCGGUAGCCGGUCCGGGAGGAUGGACGGCCACCUUGGGACUGAGACACGGCCCAGACUCCUACGGGGGGCAGCAGUGGGGAAUCCUCCGCAAUGGACGGAAGUCUUGCGGGGCAAAGCCGCGUGGGUGAUGACGGCCUUCGGGUUGUAAAGCUCUGUUAAUCGGGAAGAAAGGCCUUCUUGCGAAUAGUGAGAAGGAUUGACGGUACCGGAAUAGAAAGCCACGGCUAACUACGUG
rnacentral:rRNA from 1 species